rfam:Aerococcus christensenii strain CCTG28831, complete genome.
CCAGAACUGCAACCGCACAAGACUGUGUUAAAGUACGGGUAGCCGUCACCUUUCUUGGCGAGUCUAAGUCUAUAU